rnacentral:rRNA from 1 species
UACGUAGGGGGCAAGCGUUGUCCGGAUUUAUUGGGCGUAAAGGGUGCGUAGGCGGUUCCGCAAGUCCUGUGUGAAAUCUUCGGGCUCAACUCGAAGUCUGCACGGGAAACUGCGGGGCUUGAGUGUGGGAGAGGUGAGUGGAAUUCCCGGUGUAGCGGUGAAAUGCGUAGAUAUCAGGAGGAACACCUGUGGCGAAAGCGGCUCACUGGACCAUAACUGACGCCGAUGCACGAAAGCUGGGGGAGCAAACAGG